rnacentral:rRNA from 1 species
UGAGGAAUAUUGGUCAAUGGACGCAAGUCUGAACCAGCCAAGUAGCGUGCAGGAUGACGGCCCUAUGGGUUGUAAACUGCUUUUAUAUGGGGAUAAAGUGGUGAACGUGUUCCCUUUUGCAGGUACCAUAUGAAUAAGGACCGGCUAAUUCCGUGCCAGCAGCCGCGGUAAUACGGAAGGUUCGGGCGUUAUCUGGAUUUAUUGGGUUUAAAGGGAGCGUAGGCCGUUUGGUAAGCGUGUUGUGAAAUGUAGGAGCUCAACUUCUAGAUUGCAGCGCGAACUGUCAGACUUGAGUGCGCACAACGUAGGCGGAAUUCAUGGUGUAGCGGUGAAAUGCUUAGAUAUCAUGAAGAACUCCGAUUGCGAAGGCGGCUUACGGGAGCGCAACUGACGCUGAAGCUCGAAGGUGCGGGUAUCGAACAGG